UAAUACAGAGGGUGCGAGCGUUAAUCGGAAUUACUGGGCGUAAAGCGCACGUAGGCGGUUGGGUAAGUCGGAUGUGAAAGCCCUGGGCUCAACCUGGGAACUGCAUUCGAUACUGCCCGGCUGGAGUAUGGGAGAGGGAAGCGGAAUUUCCGGUGUAGCGGUGAAAUGCGUAGAUAUCGGAAGGAACACCAAUGGCGAAGGCAGCUUCCUGGCCCAAUACUGACGCUGAGGUGCGAAAGCGUGGGGAGCAAACAGG
rnacentral:rRNA from 1 species